AUACGGAGGAUCCGAGCGUUAUCCGGAUUUAUUGGGUUUAAAGGGUGCGCAGGCGGCCAUUUAAGUCAGCGGUUAAAUCGUGGGGCUCAACCCCAUUCUGCCGUUGAUACUGGGUGGCUUGAUUGCGGUCGAGGUUGGCGGAAUUCGUUGUGUAGCGGUGAAAUGCAUAGAUAUGACGAAGAACACCGAUUGCGUAGGCAGCUGACCAGACCGCAAAUGACGCUCAUGCACGAAAGUGCGGGGAUCGAACAGGAUUAGAUACCCUGGUAGUCCGCACAGUAAACGAUGAAUACUUGUUUUCGGCGAUAUAAUGUCGGAGGCAAAGCGAAAGCGAUAAGUAUUCCACCUGGGGAGUACGCCGGCAACGGUGAAACUCAA
rnacentral:rRNA from 1 species